AGGACGAACGCUGGCGGCAUGCCUAACACAUGCAAGUCGAACGAGACCUUCGGGUCUAGUGGCGCACGGGUGCGUAACGCGUGGGAAUCUGCCCUUCGGUUGGGAAUAACACAGAGAAAUUUGUGCUAAUACCUUAUAAUGUCUUCGGACCAAAGAUUUAUCGCCGAGGGAUGAGCCCGCGUAGGAUUAGCUAGUUGGUGGGGUAAUGGCCUACCAAGGCGACGAUCCUUAGCUGGUCUGAGAGGAUGAUCAGCCACACUGGGACUGAGACACGGCCCAGACUCCUACGGGAGGCAGCAGUGGGAUAUUGGACAAUGGGCGAAAGCCUGAUCCAGCAAUGCCGCGUGGGGGAUGAAGCUUUUCGGAGCGUAAACCCUUCGAUCCGGACGAAUGCCUCGCAAGAGGAGUGACGGUACGGAUAUAAGAAGCCCCGGCUAACUACGUGCCAGCAGCCGC
rnacentral:rRNA from 1 species